rnacentral:rRNA from 1 species
GAUGAACGCUAGCUACAGGCUUAACACAUGCAAGUCGAGGGGCAGCAUGACCUAGCAAUAGGUUGAUGGCGACCGGCGCACGGGUGAGUAACACGUAUCCAACCUGCCGAUUAUUCCGGGAUAGCCUUUCGAAAGAAAGAUUAAUACUGGAUAGCAUAACGAGAAGGCAUCUUCUUGUUAUUAAAGAAUUUCGAUAAUCGAUGGGGAUGCGUUCCAUUAGUUUGUUGGCGGGGUAACGGCCCACCAAGACAUCGAUGGAUAGGGGUUCUGAGAGGAAGGUCCCCCACAUUGGAACUGAGACACGGUCCAACCUCCUACGGGAGGCAGCAGUGAGGAAUAUUGGUCAAUGGACGAGAGUCUGAACCAGCCAAGUAGCGUGAAGGAUGACUGCCCUAUGGGUUGUAAACUUCUUUUAUAUGGGAAUAAAGUGGGCCACGUGUGGCUUUUUGUAUGUACCAUACGAAUAAGGAUCGGCUAACUCCGUG